rnacentral:tRNA from 1 species
GCCCUCGUAGCCCAACGGCAGAGGCGCCGUCUUGAGGAGGCGGUCAUGUGCGCGUUCGACUCGCGCCGAGGGCAC